GCAGAGGUGGUUGAGCUUGGUCAAAGGCGUCGGACUUGAAAUCCGAUGGGGCUUUGCCCCGCAAGGGUUCAAAUCCCUUCCUCUGCG
rnacentral:tRNA from 3 species